rnacentral:rRNA from 1 species
AUUGAACGCUGGCGGCAUGCCUUACACAUGCAAGUCGAACGGUAACAGGUCUUCGGAUGCUGACGAGUGGCGAACGGGUGAGUAAUACAUCGGAACGUGCCUAGUAGUGGGGGAUAACUACUCGAAAGAGUGGCUAAUACCGCAUGAGAUCUACGGAUGAAAGCAGGGGAUCGCAAGACCUUGUGCUACUAGAGCGGCCGAUGGCAGAUUAGGUAGUUGGUGGGAUAAAAGCUCACCAAGCCGACGAUCUGUAGCUGGUCUGAGAGGACGGUCAGCCACACUGGGACUGAGACACGGCCCAGACUCCUACGGGAGGCAGCAGUGGGGAAUUUUGGACAAUGGGCGAAAGCCUGAUCCAGCAAUGCCGCGUGCAGGAUGAAGGCCUUCGGGUUGUAAACUGCUUUUGUACGGAACGAAAAGCCCCGGGUUAAUACCCUGGGGUCAUGACGGUACCGUAAGAAUAAGCACCGGCUAACUACGUGCCAGCAGCCGCGGUAA